CUUGGUUAUAGACUCCAUUGUCUACUUAAUCAUGUUUUAGUACUUGUGAGAAGUAGCACAACUACUGAAAAAACCAGACCCAGUUCUCCGUGAUGUCUAGCCCACCAAUUAGGGCUAGGGAGUAUCAGAAAAGCUCAUUAAUGUGAGCCCUAGGUGCGGCUCUUUGCUUCUCUACCUAAUCUUUGGGGUUGGUGUAACAUGGAUUAUAUGAUAGGCGUGGGUUCUGUCCCAGCCUGAAUCUGUUGUACAGAGUUGAUCCCUUGUUAAUAAAAUUAUAUUGUUUGAAAAAAUUAAAAAAAAACCUGCCAUUUCCACUAUCCAAGUAUUUAGAACAUCUAGGCCGAUGGUCUAAAGCUUCCCUAUUGGGCUACUAACCAUCUAGGACCAUGCUUUUAGGGCUCAUGCUCUAACCAUCUAGGUCCAUGACCCUGUACCAGCCCCCUAUUCAUUAUCAACAUUUGGGUUGUUUACAUUGACAUUAUGCAUAUCAAGGCAUACCCCAGCCCUUUGAGAUAUUGGACUUAGAUAUUGUAUUCAGGCCUCCGUCCCAAAACAAAGGCCAAGCCCAAUGUAGGCCUACUUCCUGUAAACAAUGAUUAGGUAGAGUAGAACUUUAACCUCACAAAUCAUGCUAGUCCACUCCUCAAAUGAGGAACCCGUACAGAAAAAUGGCUGUUUUGAAAGAAAAACACAAGCGACCUCAAUAUACACAUGUGGUCCAAGUGAUGAAUGGUCAUUCCUAAUAUUUGCCCAAUGAAAUGAUUAUAGCCAUUCAACAAAAAAAUGAACAA